ensembl:lncRNA
ACCGUGCACGCUGCACACACCGUAUGCAGGCACACCAGGAUGUGUUUAGGACCUAAAGAGGAAACUGUCUGCCUCUCCACCCCAACUUCCCCUCUAGGCAGGAAAACGUUCUAAAUCCUGGGUGAAGGAUUUAGAACGUUCUAAAUCCAUCAGAGGGUGAAGCUUCUCUUGAGGCUGUUUCCCAUUCUCUUUGGAGGGAGUCCAGGUUAAGUCUGGGAACCCUGCCACAGCCACCGGAACAAAGCGAGGAGCCUGGGUUUCUCUGAGGAGCUCUCGUCUUCAGGAGGAUUUCCAGAAGCCAAAACGUGCGCGCGCUCACCCGCAGUCCGAACCUCCCUCGUGGUCCAGCAGGAGGCGAGCUGGAUGGGGAACUGAUGGCAGAGGAGACCAAGGAGACAGGUGCAGAGUGGAUGCACCCUGGACUAGGAAAGGAGCAGUAAGGAGGAAGUAGAGCUGAGGUCAGACCUUCAGGAUGCAGCGCCUACAGGACUUCACGUGGAUCCAGGCCGAAGUCUUCGGAUGACCUCCAGGGGCACUGAAAAUCUGUCCCUGGUUUGUCUUUGCUCCGGUCUCCACUAGUCGCCCCUACGGCAACCAUCCAGGGACCUCGACGCUUCCCAGGGACAUACAUUCUGACACCAGAGAGCCUGUGCUCACUUCCCCUUUGCCUAGACUGCCUUUUCCCCUGCUUCCCCCACACUUCAAAGGCCAGCUCAGAAGUCACACUUGCCCGUUCCCUAUUAUCCAAGCACUCAUAAAGCCCUCUGUGAACUCAUUUUGGCUCUCACACACCCAACUGUGGCUUGUUCCUAUUCCUAAAUACCCAGCACAACAACGUGAAAUUUGCAAAAUCAAUGAAUACUGUUUUUUUGGGGAGGGGGUUGCUAUUCGCAGGAUUUGUGGGGUCUCAAAUGGUGACCAGGGAUUGAACCUGGGCCGUGGCAGUCAAAGUCUGGAAUGCUAACCACUAGGCCACCACGGAACUCCCUCAAUGAAUACUUUUGAAAAGAAUAUGACUGCAGGUCAUAUAUUCUGAGACUUUAUGAACACUGGGGUAAAAACGGAUGUUAAUGCCAUGAACUUGAGAGCUAUCCAGUAUGCUCAUCUGACAUUCCCCCUCAACUUCUUCCACCAUCCAUUCUACCCUAGGGAUUGAAAGAUGUCUCAACAAAUGCUAAUUUGUAAAUAACAAAAAUGUUAAUAAGAUAUAAAACUGUAUUUACAAUGUAACUUACCUAUUUUAAAGAUACAUGUAAUAUACCAAAGUGUUGAGAGUCCAUCAUUAGUCAAUAAAAUUUGAGUGCUU